CCGGGUUGACUCGCGGGUUCAAAUCCAUUUUGAUAACACUUGAAGUAUUGAACAUCUCUUGUUUUAGUUUCUUCAAAAGUUAUAAGGCUUAAUUUACAAAAAUAUUUUUCUUCACCUUGAGUUAUUUGUGACUUAUGAAGUAACAACAACUCAAAUAGUAAUUUUUCAAAGGUUAUUGAGGAGUUAAAAAUAAUGGGGAGUGAAAGUGGAGAUAAAAGACUUUUAAAAGUAAAGGUUGAAAUCAAGAGAUGAGAAUCAUUAAUGAAAAGAUAAGAGUUUAAAGUUUGGAAAACUCCCUUUAGAACUUUUGAAUCAAUUAUGAUUGGAGAGUAGGAGGUGCCUUGAGUAAUACUUCAUAUUUAAGUAGGAGUUCUUCUUUGAGCAUGAUUUCUUCCUUCACCUUUUCUCUCCUCUCAAUCUCUUCUUUCUCUUUCUUUUGUUUCUCCUCCCUCUCUCUUCUCUUAUUUUCUUCUUUCUCUUUCUUUUCUCUUUCCUCCCUUUCUCUUCUCUCAUUUCCUUCUUUUUCUUUCUUUUCUCUCUCCUCCCUUUCUCUUCUAGCUUCCUCCUCUCUAUCUUUUUUCUCUAAUUGUAUUUUUUCCUCUUUCUUCUUUUCGAUUUCUCUU
rnacentral:lncRNA from 1 species